rnacentral:rRNA from 1 species
UACGGAGGGUGCGAGCGUUGUUCGGAAUCACUGGGCGUAAAGCGCGUGUAGGCGGCUUCUUAAGUCCGAUGUGAAAGCCCGGGGCUCACCCCCGGAAGUGCAUUGGAUACUGGGAAGCUGGAGUACCGGAGAGGAGGGUGGAAUUCCCGGUGUAGCGGUGAAAUGCGCAGAUAUCGGGAGGAACACCAAUGGCGAAGGCAGCUCGCUGGGACGUUACUGACGCUGAGACGCGAAAGCGUGGGGAGCAAACAGG